rnacentral:lncRNA from 1 species
AUGAAGCAGAAUGACUGCGGGGGAGUGUGUCCUCAGUUCUCACAUGAACAUGUUUACAAUGGCAAGCAGAGGGAAAAUCUUGUGAGUGGUCGUGAAAAUCUUACCAGAGUGGAGAGCUUUGUCUGUUGCCCUGAUGUAAAGAUACUUGAACUGAAUGGAAAUGACCCAGCGUAUCGGGUUGUCAACAUCAAUUUGAAAGGAUGUGUAACAAAACUCUGGAACAAUAUGUUCAAAAACCUAAGCAUUCACCCUGCAUCGUUUUUUGACAAUUCUGAAGCCCUCACUUCCAAGUCGCGGCCGAAUUGCUGUGUACCAGGCUGUUAUUAUGAGGGAGAAAGAAAGCAAACAACGAUGAAAUCUUUCUCAGAAACCAGUAAAUAUGAUUACCGAAAACCAUGCUGGUGGCAUUCAGAGCCCAUUAGAGCCAAGAAAGUAAAAGCGGCUCUAAAAUUUUGCAUAUUAGAUAAGAUUGCUGAGCCUAAAAUUUGUGAUAGUUUCUUAGUUGAACUGCAACACGUUUUAGCUAGAUUUCCAUUUACAGAUUUACACUUCUAUUGGGAUAUAUUGCGAGUCAUACAUGCUGAGAUUGAAGUACAUAAACGUACAAAAGGGUCAGUCGACGAAUGUAAGUACAAGAUCAAAACAGAGCAAUUGCACAUGCUUAGUUAUGCCAUUACCAGACUUAUUUUGCAGCUGUAUUUCAUCACCGGUGGAAAUCCUUUGCUACCUUUCAGAGGAACAAAAUCGUGUAGCCAGGCUCUCAAUUACCUCAAAGAGGAUUUUCCAGACCCGGUAACCGGCGAGUGUACCAUCAAACCAUUCCCACGUUUAGCCAGAUCUCGCCGUCGUAGUACACAGGAUGAUGCUAAUUCAGACAAAGGAUGCGGUUGCCUGCCUUUCGGCCUUUUCUCACGCGUCAUCGGUCUCUCCGGACCACAGGAAGGAAUUAGAUGCUUGACUUUAAAAGCUGAUAACUUUCCAGACGAAUUUACUUAUUUUGAUUUGAAGUCCUUAACAUAUUUAAUCUGUAAUUUAAACCGCAGUCUUCAACUGGAAUUCAUUAAAGGAUCAUCCGGGAAAUGUCAAGUUCCCAACUGUUCAUAUCCUGCACCAGUUAGGAAUGAACGAAUAAUAAAAGAAUUAAAAUCAAGUAUUCGUGCCAUUGAACAGCUACUUUUUUACCUACGGAGACUUAAUUCCUUCAAGCCAACAAUUUCCUCCAAAGUCAACGGCAACCAAUUACCCAGAGGCAUGCUUAGCAGUGCCAGCAUCGAAUGUAAGAGCACCUUAAAAAAUGGACGAAACCUCGCUGAAAUGAGGGGUGAAAAGGGAAUUGAAGUCGACGCAUAUCAAGUUAAGUGUCCUCCACAUCCUCACCAAGAUUUUCCAAUUGACUUUAGAUUUUGUUCUCCGGCGAGAGUAAAAAACUCAAGAAAACCCUGCAUUGAAAAUGAGAUAGAUGAUGGAUUAAAUUGUAAAAUUUCUUCUCAGUUGCGGUUGAAACAAAUUCCUCCAUCCAAAGGAGAAAAAGUAUUUGAUUCAUGCUUCACUGAACCAUCUAAAAUCAGCAGCACGAAACUGAAAUCAAAGAGGUCUCCGGAAGAGGCAAAUCGAUCGAGGUUAGGUGCCAGUUGCUGUUCUCCUCGUGUGACCGCAGAUGACUCUUGUGAGAAAUGCUAUCAAGUUAGUGAAGAUUUUCGGCAAUAUAUAUCAAAAAUCAGGGAGGAAAAAAGAAAAAAUCGAAAAAAGUCAACAGGCGCAUGCUCUGAUGGAGAAUGUGACUUUGCAUUUCAAGUGCAAAAAGCUCACCGCGAAAGGAAGAUAGGUGGCAAGUCAGAUGCAUGUAAAGUAACUUCUACAUCAAAUUUUUGUCGUAAAACGAAAGUAGAAGAUCGCAGCGCUCUUUUAUUGCGCUGUCAUCGAGAAUGCGUAACCGAAAAACAAUCGAAAUCAUCCACGACUAAACUAGGUAAUGAAAUAAAUCCCAACUCAACCCUUCUGAUGUGCGACCAGAACAAGGUUUUUACAAACACUGAAAAAGCCACAGACGAACUUCUGAAUUGCGAUCCAGCUCCCAAAUUAGAGGAGUGUAAAAAUAAGUGCAAUAAGCUGUGUUGUGAUGCUGAGUCAAAAUUUGUAGAGAUGGAUAGGUUGGCAAUCGCUUCCAAGAGUGGUGGAUGCUCUCCAUGUUCAUUCACAGCAUGUGAAGUUAAACGAAAGGCCUCUGUAGGGAUUCAAGUUUCAACUAGCCCCGAAAAUUCCUUUUGUAAUGGCCAAUCUGCAAAACUUAUAUCUGAUGGCUCAAACCCCGAUCGAGACAUGAUUGAACCGUCAAAGCCCACCAAAAUUAUCCAGUCAGAAUCAGUCAGACGAUCAGACAAUGCACGGUGCUCUUCAUUACCGUGUUUGCCUCUCAGUCCAGCACUUAGUCCGUUACGCUGUUCUGAGCUCCACCCAGAACUACUUGAAUCACUCUGCAAGAAAGCUUCAAAAGCUUCCAAGACCAUGCAGUUAGACUGCACGGAAUCAACGAAAUCAUACAAGUCUAAACGUGCUGGGCAAGACCGGGAAGCACCAUCGACGAAAUGCAGAACCCGUAGGUCAAGCUCUGAGGAUAACAUGAGAACAAACCAAAGUCAAGUCUGCGGGUUAGUUAAUCCUAGGAGUAUUAAUGUCUCCAGAAAAAUCUUGAAAGCAAUGUAG